rnacentral:rRNA from 1 species
UCGAGAAUCUUCGGCAAUGGGCGCAAGCCUGACCGAGCGACGCCGCGUGUGGGAUGAAGGCCCUUGGGUUGUAAACCACUGUCAGAGGGGAUGAAGUGCAGCGGAGCUAUCUCCGUUGUUUGACAUAGCCUCAGAGGAAGCACGGGCUAAGUUCGUGCCAGCAGCCGCGGUAAUACGAACUGUGCGAACGUUAUUCGGAUUCACUGGGCUUACAGGGUGCGUAGGCGGCUUGCUAAGUAGGGUGUGAAAGCCCCCGGCUUAACCGGGGAAUGGCGCCCUAAACUGGCGAGCUGGAGUGAGAUAGGGGUGUGCGGAACUUCCGGUGGAGCGGUGAAAUGUGUUGAUAUCGGAAGGAACGCCGGUGGCGAAAGCGGCACACUGGAUCUCAACUGACGCUGAGGCACGAAAGCCAGGGGAGCGAACGGGAUUAGAUACCCGCGUAGUCC